rnacentral:rRNA from 1 species
CAAUUCAAGGGAGGAGCAGGCGCGCAAUUACCCAAUCCUGACUCAGGGAGGUAGUGACAAGAAAUAACAAUAAACCGGCUUAUGCCGGUUUAAUUGGAAUGAGUACAAUUUAAACAUCUUAACGAGGAACAAUUGGAGGGCAAGUCUGGUGCCAGCAGCCACGGUAAUUCCAGCUCCAAUAGCGUAUACUAAAGUUGUUGCAGUUAAAAAGCUCGUAGUUGGAUUUCUGUGGGGACGGAGCGGCCGGCCGCACAUCGCGGUUCGAGCUAGCGCUUUCCCUACAUCCUGCCGCGAACCGUGCUACCAUUAGUUUGGUGGCGCUGGGGAUCGGCUCGAUUACUUUGAGAAAAAUAGAGUGUUCAAAGCAGGCCACAUGCCUUGAAUAAGUUAGCAUGGAAUAAUAACUAAGGACUUCGGUUCUAUUUUGUUGGUGUUCGGGACUGAAGUAAUGAUUGAUAGGGACAGUUGGGGCGGUCUGUAUUCCAAAGCGAGAGGUGAAAUUCUUAGACCUUCGGAAGACAAACAGCUGCGAAAGCGUUCCGCAAGGAUGUUCCCUUUGAUCAAGAACGAAAGUUGGGGGAUCGAAGACGAUCAGAUACCGUCGUAGUCUCAACUAUAAACUAUACCAGCUAGGGAUCGGCCAACGUUAUUUUAUACCGACUUGGUCGGCACCUUAUGAGAAAUCAAAGCAUCUGGGUUCCGGGGGGAGUAUGGUCGCAAGGCUGAAACUUAAAGGAAUUGACGGAAGGGCACCACCAGCCGUGGAGCCUGUGGCUUAAUUUGACUCAACACGGGAAAACUUACCAGGUCCAGACAUAGUAAGGAUUGACAGAUUGAUAGCUCUUUCUUGAUUCUGUGGGUGGUGGUGCAUGGCCGUUCUUAGUUGGUGGAGUGAUUUGUCUGGUUAAUUCCGUUAACGAACGAGACCCCAGCCUGCUAAAUAGCGCGCGUGAGCUUUGCUCGCGGCGAGCUUCUUAGAGGGACUAUGAUGCGCGAUAGCACAUGGAAGUUUGGGGCAAUAACAGGUCUGUGAUGCCCUUAGAUGUUCUGGGCCGCACACGGGCUACACUGGCGCCUGCAACGAGCAUAUCAGCUGGCCCGAGAGGGUCUUGGCUAAUCUUUUGAACCGGCGCCGUGCUUGGGAUUGACCUUUGCAAUUGUUGGUCAUGCAACGAGGAAUGCCUUGUAAACGCGAGUCAUCAGCUCGCAUUGAAUACGUCCCUGCCCUUUGUACACACCGCCCGUCGCUCCUACCGAUGAAUGUUCCGAUGAAAUUUUCGGAGAGCACCUGUGAACUUGGCUCUGCCUUGCGAACGGGAGGCUCAAAGUCACAUAAAUCGAAUCAUUAGAG